CCAAACCCUAUCGACGCUGGGACAAUUGUGCGCCGCCCUAUGGGACUUCCAAUCACGACCGGUUGUGAUACAGUCUGUAACGUUAAUCGAAACAGGUGUUUCGACGACCGGUUGUGAUACAGUCUGUAACGUUAAUCGAAACAGGUGUAGUGACGUCUCUUGCACUGAGAUGCAGUGCCUUAGACCGCUGCGCUACUCGGGAGCCCUGUCUGCCCAAGGGUAGUCAAACUAAGAGGUUACUGUAACUGGAUCGAGGGUUACAUUCACGAUGUACAAGGUGCAGUUCUACUCUGAAAGUCCAUUCAUCAUGGAGACUAAAUGCAACUGCAAAGCUGGCCCGGGACAGUGCAACCAUGCCCUCGGUUUACUGUAAACCAUAGCUCAUUACAUUCAAAUGAAACAGAAAGCAGAAACACCAACAGAAAGCUAAACAUGCUUGCCUCAAACAUGGCACAUCCGACGCGUACGUCAGGCCUGCAGUCCAAACAUGUAAAUACAGUUAAAUUAUCGAAAAUAAAGCCACUGAGGAAAGGCAAUGCACCUGCCAACAAAGUCCGCAGGACUUGAGGGGAUUGUGCCAAAUAUGUAUUGUCCAGUCCCUACACCAUUGCCCAGUAAAUAGUUUGCUAGGAACCUUAUGCAAAACCUUGCUGCAAUAGGAAGCAACUGCCAGAUAUACACCUUGCUGGCCUCCAACUCAGAGCAUACUUUUUUUUGUGAAAUGCAACAAUUAUUUCCUUGAGAGUAUGAAAAGUUGGUAGACAUGAAGUCUAAGUUGGACCAAUACUUUUUUGAGCACUURCUGCCAGCCCUGUGCAGGAAUAAAGAAAAAAUAAAUCACACUGGUUGGUGGACAGGUAUGUCUCUGGUCKACACUCCAGUCCAGUUGGUGGCGGUAAUGCACCUUAAAGUUGGUUGCCAACCACCAUAUAAAAUCCUCAAGAAGAAGGUGGAAAGGUGAUACCCUGGUGCCAUGGUAAUAAUAAAUAAUGUUGUAGUUUAUUCAGUGAUGUACAGGACUGGACUUUGAAAUGUUUGUAAUUCCAGUUACAUGAUUGAAGCUUAAAAUAUGUCUAUAAUUGAAGUUAGCCUAUUUGAUUGAAGCUUGAACUUUUAAUGAACUGUGAAAUUAUUGAUGCUGGAGACAUGUAUUUUGAUAAUUAAAUAGUCAUGUUUGAAAA